rnacentral:sRNA from 1 species
ACUUCUAACAUAGUUUAAGGGUAGAUGAGCAUUAUGAAUUAUGGGUUGUGGUUUUUCCAGCUCAUGAUGUAUAGCAUACAGUGGAAUGUAUAGAUAUUUUAUGGGAAAUAUUACCUUUCAGGUCACUUUGGAACUUCUUGGGUGAAGCACUACUGUACAUAUCAACGGGAUUCCAAACAAAUCACCAUGGUACCAUUUGACCAAAAGUCAGGAGGAAAAGGGGGAGAAGAUGAAUCAGUUACCCUCAAAUCCUGCACACGGCGGAAAACAGACUCCAUUGAGAAGAGGUUUUGCUUUGAUGUGGAAGCAGUAGACAGGCCAGGGGUUAUCACCAUGCAAGCUUUGUCGGAAGAGGACCGGAGGCUCUGGAUGGAAGCCAUGGAUGGCCGGGAACCUGUCUACAACUCGAACAAAGACAGCCAGAGUGAAGGGACUGCGCAGUUGGACAGCAUUGGCUUCAGCAUAAUCAGGAAAUGCAUCCAUGCUGUGGAAACCAGAGGGAUCAACGAGCAAGGGCUGUAUCGAAUUGUGGGGGUCAACUCCAGAGUGCAGAAGUUGCUGAGUGUCCUGAUGGACCCCAAGACUGCUUCUGAGACAGAAACAGAUAUCUGUGCUGAAUGGGAGAUAAAGACCAUCACUAGUGCUCUGAAGACCUACCUAAG